GCCCGGGUGGCGGAAUUGGUAGACGCAGCAGACUCAAAAUCUGCCGUCCGCAAGGAUGUACCGGUUCGACUCCGGUCCUGGGCA
rnacentral:tRNA from 1 species